GCGCAACAAGAAGGAAGACUAGGAGAAAGAAACGAGAAAAGAUGGAAUAUCCUUCCUUCUCCGAGCCAUAAUUUGUGGAUUCUUUGAUAAUUAUUGAUCUUUCUGUCAUUUCUGGAGUUAUUGUUGGAGCCACAGAAAGUA
rnacentral:ribozyme from 14 species